UUAAAUGAGAGUUUGAUCCUGGCUCAGGACGAACGCUGGCGGCGUGCCUAAUACAUGCAAGUUGAACGCAACAUAAACACCAGAGCUUGCUCUACCGUUUAUGUUGAGUAGCGAACGGGUGAGUAACGCGUGGGUAACCUGCCUUAUAGCGGGGGAUA
rnacentral:ncRNA from 1 species